ACUCCCAGGAAACCCAUCUAUACAUCUGUGAAAUCACGUUACUGCAUGUUGGAAGUGUUGUGUGUCACUUCCCACAUGUACACUGCCUGGUGCUUUUUUCCUUCUCAGUAGAGCCUGUCAGCUGCCUGACUCAACCAGAAGCAGAGGAAUGACGAAUAUAUUCAGAGCCAUGGCUACUUUUGGUUUGGAAACUGUUGUGGGGACCAUUGUAGGGACUGAGCUUCCCUUGCAAGAAGGAGCCAGGGCCUGGGAGUCCAGUAGAGAUGUCGUGCUCUGCAGUGGAUGCUGUGAAUGUGGAACUGACUCUUUCUAAUUUUUCCUGAUAAAGACUUGGACACUUUUUGCAAAGUUGGCCUUUGAUAUCACAAGUUGGAGUGAAAAGUGAACCUUGAAAUGUAUGCAAAAAAGAAGAAAUAUGGAAUGGUGUCCAGAAGAU